AUCGCUUCUCGGCCUUUUGGCUAAGAUCAAGUGUAAAGUUUAACAUUAGUGUUAGCUUUUUCUUUCUUUUUUUUUAAGUUUAUUUAUUUAUAAAUAGAGAGAGAAACCAUGUGAGUGGGGGAGGGGCAGAAAGAGAGAAUCCCAA
rnacentral:snRNA from 1 species